AACACGCAUGACACACUGCAUAUCAAUAAGCGGAGGAAAAGAAACUAACAAGGAUUCCCCUAGUAACGGCGAGUGAAGCGGGAAGAGCUCAAAUUUGAAAUCUUCAAGGUUUGACCUUGACGAAUUGUAGUUUAAAGAAGUGUUUUCGGUUAGAGGAGUAGUAAAAGUUCUUUGGAAUAGGACAUCAUAGAGGGUGAGAAUCCCGUAUUUGGUCAUUCUUUCUAGCUUUGUGAUACACUUUCAACGAGUCGGAUUGUUUGGGAAUGCAGUCCAAAAUGGGUGGUAAAUUUCAUCUAAAGCUAAAUAUUGGCGAGAGACCGAUAGCGAACAAGUACCGUGAGGGAAAGAUGAAAAGAACUUUGAAAAGAGAGUUAAACAGUACGUGAAAUUGUCAAAAGGGAAGCGUUUGACACCAGUGUUGUUUUCUCGAAAAUCAAUUAAAAAAGGCCGGAUUUUGUGUUGUAUUGACCUUAAAAGCUUUCUUCACUCUUUUCUUGUCUUUUUUAAUGCACUUUUCGUUUAACAAGUCAACAUCAGUUUCUUUUGUUGUAAAAGGGUCAUUGGAAGGUGGCUUUCUUUUCGGAGAAAGUGUUUAUAGCCUUUGAUCUCUGCAACCGGAGAGACUGAGGUCUGCAGCGUAGACUCUUCGGGGUUAGAUACAUUUGUGCUAAGUUAUAGCUUUUCAUAGACAACUUGUUGACUAUGUUAAGUCUUGUAGCUUACUCGCUUAUGCUAUUUUACCUACGCUUAGGAUGUUGACUGAUAUGUAGUCGUA
rnacentral:rRNA from 1 species